ACGAACGCUGGCGGCAUGCCUAACACAUGCAAGUCGAACGAAUUCACCGACUUCGGUUGGUGAGUUAGUGGCGCACGGGUGCGUAACGCGUGGGAAUCUGCCCCUCGGUUCGGAAUAACAGUUAGAAACGACUGCUAAUACCGGAUGAUGACGAAAGUCCAAAGAUUUAUCGCCGAGGGAUGAGCCCGCGUAGGAUUAGCUAGUUGGUAAGGUAAAAGCUUACCAAGGCGACGAUCCUUAGCUGGUCUGAGAGGAUGAUCAGCCACACUGGGACUGAGACACGGCCCAGACUCCUACGGGAGGCAGCAGUGGGGAAUAUUGGACAAUGGGCGAAAGCCUGAUCCAGCAAUGCCGCGUGAGUGAUGAAGGCCUUAGGGUUGUAAAGCUCUUUUACCAGGGAUGAUAAUGACAGUACCUGGAGAAUAAGCUCCGGCUAACUCCGU
rnacentral:rRNA from 1 species